GCCCGCCUAGCUCAAUCGGAUAGAGCGUCAGACUCUUACAUAUGCCCUGACGUCGUCCGAGUCGUUCGACCAUAGGUGGUGCAAUCUGAAGGCUGCGAGUUCGACCCUCGCGGUGGGCU